CCUACGGGGGGCUGCAGUGAGGAAUAUUGCGCAAUGGGGGAAACCCUGACGCAGCGACGCCGCGUGAGUGAUGAAGGCCUUCGGGUUGUAAAGCUCUGUCAGAGGGAAAGAAAGGGGUGUUGGAAUAAUACCCAACACCCUUGACGGUACCCUCGGAGGAAGCACCGGCUAACUCCGUGCCAGCAGCCGCGGUAAUACGGAGGGUGCAAGUGUUAUUCGGGAUCAAUGGGCGUUGAGAGAGUCAGAGCGGAAAUCCCGGAGCUUAACUUCGGAACUGAAUUUGAUACUGCUCGUCUUGAGUAUGGUAGAGGGGGAUGGAAUUCCCGGUGUAGAGGUGAAAUUCGUAGAUAUCGGGAGGAACACCAGAGGCGAAGGCGAUCCCCUGGGCCAUUACUGACGCUGAGGUGCGAAAGCGUGGGGAGCAAACAGGAUUAGAUACCCGAGUAGUC
rnacentral:rRNA from 1 species